AACAGCUGCAAUCAUUCCAAUAAUCCUAUGUAACGCCCUCAAUAGUUCCACAUGAAAUGGGAUACUGAUUUUGAUUAGUUUAUAUAAGACUUUAUACGCUAGUUGUAAUAACUGAGCUUAAAUAUUUUGGACCGGUGGUUUGGCCCAAUGAAUUAUUAUUGUUAGUUUGUCGGGUCGUUACAAUUGAUAUCAAAGCCGAAUAUCUGCCAAAAAUAUGAGAGCUAAGUACUAUGUGUGGCAAUCCUAAUCUGUCUGGAUGGAAUACUAAUUCCGAUUAGUUUAUAUGAAGCCUAGUCCAACUAAUUCCUCCAUAGUCCCACAAAUUCCCCCAAUAGUCCAACUAAUUCCUCCACAAAUUCCCCCAAUAGUCCAACAUCGCCCACAAAUUCCCCCAAUAGUUCAACAUCGGAUGGGGUUUAAGCAUUUUGAACCGGUGGUUUAGCCCAACGAGUUAUUAUUGUUAACGGGUUGGAUCGAAUCGUUACAUCAUAUUUGUGAAAAUUACUAAGAGG
rnacentral:lncRNA from 1 species